CAGAUGCUGAUCCCAUAGUUGGUGUGGUUUACCUAGAUUUCAGCAAAAUAUUUUAGGAAGUCUCUCAUGCUAUUAUUAUUCUUGUGAACAAGAUAGAUAAAAGCGUGCUAGAGGAUAUUAUAGUUAGUUGGAUUCUGAAUGGUUGAAUUGCUGCAAACAAGGAGUAGUUGUAUUAUUAUUCACUUGAAAAGAGGUAUCUAGUAGAGGGCCUUAGGGAUCUCUCAUUGACCCUGAACUGUUUAGUAAUGACCUAGAUAAAGAUAUAGAUGGCUUCUUUAUUGAAUUUUCAGACAAUGCUAAGCCAGUCCUGACUUAUCUGACUGAUAGGAGACAAAAAGAUUUUGACAGGAUAGAUUGUUACCUGAGUCUAUCAUGAUGAAAGGUAAUGGGAGUAAGAGUAAAAUUUUAUACUUGGAUUCAAAAGUUUCAACAUGGCAACCAUUAUGAUUAUUAUGGUUACAUUAUUAGAGGCAGAGUGUCUUGGACAAGGGAGACUAUAGUCUUGCUCUAUAAUCUAUCCUAAGAGACCACAUCUGGAGUAUUGCAUUCAGUUCUAGAUAAACUGGCAGAUGUCCCAAGGAGAGUGGUCAGGAUGGUGAAUGGGUUCCAAUUCAUACCCUAUAAAGAUCAGUUGUAGAAACUGGGACUAUUUAGUCUGGAGCAAGAUGAUUGACAAGGUACAUGAUAGCUGUCUUCAAGCAUUUAAAGGAUUCUCAUGGAUACAACCUUUUGGGACAAGAGUUCUCUAUUUGCCAAAACCUGUUGGGAAAAUGAGAAGUGGCAUGACAGAUAUUGAGAACAGACCAACAUCUCACACCAUAUAGCAAGGAAAGUUCAACAUGAGUACAUGUUUUAGACAUAAAGGAUGACACCUUAAACAAAUUAGAAGAGUAUGGAAUAGUCUACCUGUAAGAUCUAUGGAUAAGGGAAGAAAUUAGAACCAAACAAGAGAUGGAGAGUAAUAUAAAAUUAAAAAGAGAGAAUUUUGAUUAUGUAAAAUUAUAUUUCAGUAUGUUAAGUCAAAAAGAUAUUAUGCAAACAAAUACAACCAUGAUUAGAAUGAAAAGAGAAAGCUGGAAAAAUUAUGCAGCAACUAUCUCUGAUAAAGGACUAUUUGCUCAAAUAUAAAGAGAAUGAAGUCAAAUUUAUAAAAAUAAGUAAUUCUCCAAAUGACAAAUAAUCCAAGAAUAUGAAC
rnacentral:lncRNA from 1 species